rnacentral:rRNA from 1 species
GAUGAACGCUGGCGGCGUGCCUAAUACAUGCAAGUCGAGCGAACGGACGAGAAGCUUGCUUCUCUGACGUUAGCGGCGGACGGGUGAGUAACACGUGGAUAAUCUACCUAUAAGACUGGGAUAACUUCGGGAAACCGGAGCUAAUACCGGAUAAUAUUUUGAACCGCAUGGUUCAAAAGUGAAAGACGGUCUUGCUGUCACUUAUAGAUGGAUCCGCGCUGCAUUAGCUAGUUGGUAAGGUAACGGCUUACCAAGGCAACGAUGCAUAGCCGACCUGAGAGGGUGAUCGGCCACACUGGAACUGAGACACGGUCCAGACUCCUACGGGAGGCAGCAGUAGGGAGUCUUCCGCAAUGGGCGAAAGCCUGACGGAGCAACGCCGCGUGAGUGAUGAAGGUCUUCGGAUCGUAAAACUCUGUUAUUAGGGAAGAACAUAUGUGUAAGUAACUGUGCACAUCUUGACGGUACCUAAUCAGAAAGCCACGGCUAACUACGUG